GACGAACGCUGGCGGCGUGCUUAACACAUGCAAGUCGAACGGAAAGGCCCUGCUUUUGUGGGGUGCUCGAGUGGCGAACGGGUGAGUAACACGUGAGUAACCUGCCCUUGACUUUGUGAUAACUUCAGGAAACUGGGGCUCAUACCGGAUAUGAGCUCCUGCUGCAUGUUGGGGGUUGGAAAGUUUCGGCGGUUGGGGCUGGACUCGCGGCUUAUCAGCUUGUUGGUGGGGUAGUGGCUUACCAAGGCUUUGACGGGUAGCCGGCCUGAGAGGGUGAACGGCGACAUGGGGACUGAGAUACGGCCCAGACGCCUACGUGAGGCAGCAGUGGGGAAUAUUGCACAAUGGGCGGAAGCCUGAUGCAGCAACGCCGCGUGCGGGAUGACGGCCUUCGGGUUGUAAACCGCUUUCGCCUGUGACGAAGCGGGAGUGACGGUAAUGGGUAAAGAAGCACCGGCUAACUACGUG
rnacentral:rRNA from 1 species